AACGGACGAGAAGCUUGCUUCUCUGAUGUUAGCGGCGGACGGGUGAGUAACACGUGGAUAACCUACCUAUAAGACUGGGAUAACUUCGGGAAACCGGAGCUAAUACCGGAUAAUAUUUUGAACCGCAUGGUUCAAAAGUGAAAGACGGUCUUGCUGUCACUUAUAGAUGGAUCCGCGCUGCAUUAGCUAGUUGGUAAGGUAACGGCUUACCAAGGCAACGAUGCAUAGCCGACCUGAGAGGGUGAUCGGCCACACUGGAACUGAGACACGGUCCAGACUCCUACGGGAGGCAGCAGUAGGGAAUCUUCCGCAAUGGGCGAAAGCCUGACGGAGCAACGCCGCGUGAGUGAUGAAGGUCUUCGGAUCGUAAAACUCUGUUAUUAGGGAAGAACAUAUGUGUAAGUAACUGUGCACAUCUUGACGGUACCUAAUCAGAAAGCCACGGCUAACUACGUGCCAGCAGCCGCGGUAAUACGUAGGUGGCAAGCGUUAUCCGGAAUUAUUGGGCGUAAAGCGCGCGUAGGCGGUUUUUUAAGUCUGAUGUGAAAGCCCACGGCUCAACCGUGGAGGGUCAUUGGAAACUGGAAAACUUGAGUGCAGAAGAGGAAAGUGGAAUUCCAUGUGUAGCGGUGAAAUGCGCAGAGAUAUGGAGGAACACCAGUGGCGAAGGCGACUUUC
rnacentral:rRNA from 1 species